UGCCUCUCUUCCUUUUGAAGACCCUUCAGGUGGGUCAACCAAUGUCCAUACAUCAUUGAUCUUCAUGGACUCCAUUUCGGAUUUCAUGGCUUCAAGCCAUUUCUUGGAAUCUGAUCUCUGCAUUGCAUCCAUAUAGGUGAUCAGAUCCUCAUCAUUCUCAUCGAGUUCGAUGGGAUCACCGUCUCGGAUCAAGAAAUCGUAGUAUCUGUCCAGCUGAUGCAGUAC
rnacentral:lncRNA from 1 species